GCUCGUGUCGUGAGAUGUUGGGUUAAGUCCCGCAACGAGCGCAACCCUUGAUCUUAGUUGCCAGCAUUCAGUUGGGCACUCUAAGGUGACUGCCGGUGACAAACCGGAGGAAGGUGGGGAUGACGUCAAAUCAUCAUGCCCCUUAUGACCUGGGCUACACACGUGCUACAAUGGGCAGAACAAAGGGCAGCGAAGCCGCGAGGCUAAGCCAAUCCCACAAAUCUGUUCUCAGUUCGGAUCGCAGUCUGCAACUCGACUGCGUGAAGCUGGAAUCGCUAGUAAUCGCGGAUCAGCA
rnacentral:rRNA from 1 species